rnacentral:rRNA from 1 species
GGUUAAGCGACUAAGCGUACACGGUGGAUGCCCUGGCAGUCAGAGGCGAUGAAGGACGUGCUAAUCUGCGAUAAGCGUCGGUAAGGUGAUAUGAACCGUUAUAACCGGCGAUUUCCGAAUGGGGAAACCCAGUGUGAUCCGUCACACUAUCAUUACGUGAAUACAUAGCGUAAUGAAGCGAACCGGGGGAACUGAAACAUCUAAGUACCCCGAGGAAAAGAAAUCAACCGAGAUUCCCCCAGUAGCGGCGAGCGAACGGGGAGCAGCCCAGAGUCUGAAUCAGCUUGUGUGUUAGUGGAACGGUCUGGAAAGUCCGACGGUACAGGGUGAUAGUCCCGUACACCAAAAUGCACAGGUUGUGAACUCGAAGAGUAGGGCGGGACACGUGGUAUCCUGUCUGAAUAUGGGGGGACCAUCCUCCAAGGCUAAAUACUCCUGACUGACCGAUAGUGAACCAGUACCGUGAGGGAAAGGCGAAAAGAACCCCGGCGAGGGGAGUGAAAAAGAACCUGAAACCGUGUACGUACAAGCAGUGGGAGCAUCCUUUUGGGUGUGACUGCGUACCUUUUGUAUAAUGGGUCAGCGACUUAUAUUCUGUAGCAAGGUUAACCGUAUAGGGGAGCCGAAGGGAAACCGAGUCUUAACUGGGCGUUAAGUUGCAGGGUAUAGACCCGAAACCCGGUGAUCUAGCCAUGGGCAGGUUGAAGGUUGGGUAACACUAACUGGAGGACCGAACCGACUAAUGUUGAAAAAUUAGCGGAUGACUUGUGGCUGGGGGUGAAAGGCCAAUCAAACCGGGAGAUAGCUGGUUCUCCCCGAAAGCUAUUUAGGUAGCGCCUCGUGAAUUCAUCUUCGGGGGUAGAGCACUGUUUCGGCUAGGGGGUCAUCCCGACUUACCAACCCGAUGCAAACUGCGAAUACCGAAGAAUGUUAUCACGGGAGACACACGGCGGGUGCUAACGUCCGUCGUGAAGAGGGAAACAACCCAGACCGCCAGCUAAGGUCCCAAAGUCAUGGUUAAGUGGGAAACGAUGUGGGAAGGCACAGACAGCCAGGAUGUUGGCUUAGAAGCAGCCAUCAUUUAAAGAAAGCGUAAUAGCUCACUGGUCGAGUCGGCCUGCGCGGAAGAUGUAACGGGGCUAAACCAUGCACCGAAGCUGCGGCAGCGACACUAUGUGUUGUUGGGUAGGGGAGCGUUCUGUAAGCCGUUGAAGGUGUAUCGUGAGGUAUGCUGGAGGUAUCAGAAGUGCGAAUGCUGACAUAAGUAACGAUAAUGCGGGUGAAAAACCCGCACGCCGGAAGACCAAGGGUUCCUGUCCAACGUUAAUCGGGGCAGGGUGAGUCGACCCCUAAGGCGAGGCCGAAAGGCGUAGUCGAUGGGAAACAGGUUAAUAUUCCUGUACUUGGUGUUACUGCGAAGGGGGGACGGAGAAGGCUAUGUUAGCCGGGCGACGGUUGCCCCGGUUUAAGCAUGUAGGCGGAGGUUCCAGGUAAAUCCGGUACCUUUUUAACGCUGAGGUGUGAUGACGAGGCACUACGGUGCUGAAGUAACAAAUGCCCUGCUUCCAGGAAAAGCCUCUAAGCAUCAGGUAACACGAAAUCGUACCCCAAACCGACACAGGUGGUCAGGUAGAGAAUACCAAGGCGCUUGAGAGAACUCGGGUGAAGGAACUAGGCAAAAUGGUGCCGUAACUUCGGGAGAAGGCACGCUGAUAUGUAGGUGAAGUGAUUUACUCAUGGAGCUGAAAUCAGUCGAAGAUACCAGCUGGCUGCAACUGUUUAUUAAAAACACAGCACUGUGCAAACACGAAAGUGGACGUAUACGGUGUGACGCCUGCCCGGUGCCGGAAGGUUAAUUGAUGGGGUUAUCCGUAAGGAGAAGCUCUUGAUCGAAGCCCCGGUAAACGGCGGCCGUAACUAUAACGGUCCUAAGGUAGCGAAAUUCCUUGUCGGGUAAGUUCCGACCUGCACGAAUGGCGUAAUGAUGGCCAGGCUGUCUCCACCCGAGACUCAGUGAAAUUGAACUCGCUGUGAAGAUGCAGUGUACCCGCGGCAAGACGGAAAGACCCCGUGAACCUUUACUAUAGCUUGACACUGAACACUGGUCCUUGAUGUGUAGGAUAGGUGGGAGGCUUUGAAGUGUGGACGCCAGUCUGCAUGGAGCCAUCCUUGAAAUACCACCCUUUAAUGGCUGGUGUUCUAACGUGGACCCGUAAUCCGGGUUGCGGACAGUGUCUGGUGGGUAGUUUGACUGGGGCGGUCUCCUCCUAAAGAGUAACGGAGGAGCACGAAGGUUAGCUAAUCCUGGUCGGACAUCAGGAGGUUAGUGCAAAGGCAUAAGCUAGCUUGACUGCGAGAGUGACGGCUCGAGCAGGUGCGAAAGCAGGUCUUAGUGAUCCGGUGGUUCUGAAUGGAAGGGCCAUCGCUCAACGGAUAAAAGGUACUCCGGGGAUAACAGGCUGAUACCGCCCAAGAGUUCAUAUCGACGGCGGUGUUUGGCACCUCGAUGUCGGCUCAUCACAUCCUGGGGCUGAAGUAGGUCCCAAGGGUAUGGCUGUUCGCCAUUUAAAGUGGUACGCGAGCUGGGUUUAGAACGUCGUGAGACAGUUCGGUCCCUAUCUGCCGUGGGCGCUGGAGAAUUGAGGGGGGCUGCUCCUAGUACGAGAGGACCGGAGUGGACGCAUCACUGGUGUUCGGGUUGUCAUGCCAAUGGCAUUGCCCGGUAGCUAAAUGCGGAAGAGAUAAGUGCUGAAAGCAUCUAAGCACGAAACUUGCCCCGAGAUGAGUUCUCCCUGACUCCUUGAGAGUCCUGAAGGAACGUUAAAGACGAUGACGUUGAUAGGUCGGGUGUGUAAGUGUAGCGAUACAUUGAGCUAACCGAUACUAAUGAACCGUGAGGCUUAACCUU